rnacentral:lncRNA from 1 species
CUAGCACCCAGAGAUGGAGCAAAGGCAAUGCACAGCCAACAUCAACUAGGAUGCCACAGCUGCGAGGGUCAUGCUUCAAGUGCCAAGGCAAGCAAAAGCCCUCAGCAGCCGAGUGAAGCCUACGCACGGUGAGAACACACGCACGUAGUCUUCACCCGCCCUGGCCGGACUUGGACUGGACCUUGGCUACCUGAUGCAUGAGCCCCUACUUGAGCAUCAGUCCAAAGGUAAUAACCGAGCUACA